GCCCCGGUAGUCCAAUUGGCAGAGACGAUGGCCUCAAACUCCAUUCGGUGUCGGUUCGAGUCCGACCCGGGGCACUA
rnacentral:tRNA from 4 species